rnacentral:lncRNA from 1 species
AUGCUGAGUGACUUAUGUAGAUCUUUUAUGAUUGUAAAUCAGAUUACCUCCUUAUGUUUGUACAAACCCUUUUCCAGAAUGCUUUCGCAUAUAGUUUUCUCUCUUGAUUUUUCACAGUUUGCGAAGAAUCAUCACCUCCCUGUUAAAGGUGAAGAAAGUGACAUGGGACAUGAUGUGACUGGCCAACGAAUCAUCGUAAGUGAUGUGGCCUCUGGAAGGGGCAGUUCUGUCAGACGGCAGUCUGUCCCCGAUGUUGGCAGAAGGCUGACAGGUCUGGCUGCAGGAGACCCUGAGUACUUACUGCUGUCCAUCAAGCAAGGGAAAGGACCACCUCACAUGUCCAAACGGGGCUGGAUGUUGUCAAAUUCCUCGCAGCUGUGUAAGUAAGACGCUUUCUUUACGUGCUUGGAAAAUAAUAAUGAACUACCAUGCACGCGUAAGGGGGGGGUGUUUAGCAGGGAGGGAAGUGAAAUUCAUCGAGCCCCCAAGUGAACUGUUCUAAAUGCUCUGCAUACUUUCCCUUAUUUCUUCCUCACAUCUAUCAGGAAGGAUUCGUUCAUCCCUAAAUUGCAGAUGAGGACUGAAACUCAGAGAAGUUCAGGAACUUUCCUUUUUUCUAAGUCAUGAAUCUGAGAUUGGAACCCAGGUCUGAUUUCCACACACGAGUCCUUUCUAUGGUGAUUCUCACUGCUUUCCGCAGAUUUCUAAUACCCAAAAGGAGCACAGGGGCUCUCUCCAGCACCAUGGGACGAGGCGGGGAGGUAGAACAGAUGGGGCUGUGUAUCCCCCAACUUGAUUCAACCACACUGGCUUUAUUUUAAUUACUUCUUUUUACGUAGCAACGAUUGCUAAUAUUUAGCGUGUACCUAUAAGUGCCAGCCACUGUAAUUAGCUAUUUCUAUACACUGCAUCAUUCAGUGCUCAUGAUGGCCCUAAGAAAGGGAUGCUAUCACAAUUCCUCAUUUAUCCCCAAGAAGACUGAGACACAGAGAGUAUGAGAAACUUGCCAAAGGUCAUACAGCUAGCUAGCUUGGCCAGGAAUUGACACUGUGUGGUCUGAAUCGAGAACCCAGAAUACCUGAUCCCACCAGAUUUGACUUAAAGAAAGAGAUGUGUGCAGUAUCCCAGGCUGCCUCGUGCAGCAGACUUUUCCUUCCCUCUUCCUUUUUCCCUCCCUUCUCCCCUCCCUUCCUUUCUUCCAUCCAGUCUAUACCAAGUAGGCUCUGGGGGUAAGAAAUUGAGACUGAGUAAAACAAAGUUCUUACCUAAGGAGAAUCUCAGGGUUUGGAAGAAGGAAUCGUAUAUACAAAGCAGAAUGUGAAAGUGGAGCCAUAUUACCCAGGCCCAGAAGAGAGAGGAUGCUUCACAAUCUGACAAACAAGGUGUU